rnacentral:rRNA from 1 species
UACGUAGGGGGCAAGCGUUGUCCGGAAUCAUUGGGCGUAAAGAGCGUGUAGGCGGCCUGAUAAGUCGGCUGUGAAAGUCAAGGGCUCAACCCUUGAAUGCCGGCCGAUACUGUCAGGCUAGAGUCCGGAAGAGGCGAGUGGAAUUCCUGGUGUAGCGGUGAAAUGCGCAGAUAUCAGGAGGAACACCGAUGGCGAAGGCAGCUCGCUGGGACGGUACUGACGCUGAGGCACGAAGGCCAGGGGAGCAAACGGG